rnacentral:tRNA from 1 species
AAAAAAAUGAAAUCUAUUUGAUAUUUCACUUACAAUGAAAAUUUUGUAAAUUAAAUUUACCAUUUUUU